rnacentral:rRNA from 1 species
UGGGCGUAAGCGUGCGCAGGCGGUUAUGUAAGACAGAUGUGAAAUCCCCGGGCUCAACCUGGGAACUGCAUUUGAGACUGCAUGGCUAGAGUGUGGCAGAGGGGGGUGGAAUUCCACGUGUAGCAGUGAAAUGCGUAGAUAUGUGGAGGAACACCGAUGGCGAAGGCAGCCCCCUGGGAUAACACUGACGCUCAUGCACGAAAGCGUGGGGAGCAAACAGGAUUAGAUACCCUGGUAGUCCACGCCCUAAACGAUGUCUA